rnacentral:pre_miRNA from 1 species
GGUCAUGCUUUUCCACAGCUUUCUUGAACUUUCUUUUGUUAUAUAACUCUGUUAGCUAAUCAAUUAAAGCUAUACAGCUGAUCUAUAUAUAUAUAUAGCAUAUAUGUAUAUAUAUACAGCAUGGGAAAGCUCAAGAAAGCUGUGGGAGAACAUGGCGA